CCUCACGCCGUUCCAGCGAGUGUCUAGUUGUUCGGAAACCUGUCACUGAUUCGGAUCCUGAACGUGCUCGGACGGGACUGGCACGUAGGGCACGCGGACUGUAUUGACCGUGUAGUCUUUCGCUCAUUUUAUAUGUCUUUCCGGUUUACGGAGAUCCCACCCUUAGUGAGGUCCACCCUUUCUAUUUAUCCGAUGCACGCGGAAACACUCUGAGGGUUUGAGGAGCUCUCGACUUGUUCUCUGUUUGUUUCGAAAGUUGGCUACAGCGUCAGCUGUAUCGUGUCCUCAUAGAAGAAUAAAGUGAAAGCGUUAGCUGUGUAGCAAGCAUGUGCACCUCUUAAUAGAGUUGCCAAAUGUGAAGCUCGAUGUAUCCUGCACUUUGCCUGUAGAUUUGUGAACCUGAGAAAGCAAAGGAGAGAAGACUUCCACGAAGACAAUAUGCACAGUGCACAUGCGUACCACGUGUUCGGGCGUCCUACGGAGAUCGCCACUCUACGUUUCGCACCUCAGUACUAUACAGUAUUUUUUGGAAUCAAGAGUUACAUUAAAAUUGCCUGAGUGCUGCUGACUUAGAUUUCACUCGGCGAACUCCCUGUGUCAAACGAUUCUCACGAGUGUGUACGCAUAGUUUUGAAUGUCACGUUUCGAACAACAAACAUGGACAAGGCAGAAUCUGCGAAAACGUGACGGUCAGUUUACUAGACCUGUGGGAAAGUAGAGAAUCAGCAAAUUCUUCGUCAGGAAACUGGAUAUCCUGUCUCCGAAGCUUUCUUGUUGAACUGUAUUAAAAUGUACAUGUCCUUGGGGGGGUAAAUCCUGUAUAAUCCAGGUGUGUUUUGGGAUAUCUUGUUCGAGCCAGCCCUUUCCCAGGUACGUCUCUUCUUUUACAGUCUUU
rnacentral:lncRNA from 1 species